CAUGCAAGUCGAACGGAAAGGCCUUCGGGUACACGAGUGGCGAACGGGUGAGUAACACGUGGGUGAUCUGCCCUGCACUUUGGGAUAAGCCUGGGAAACUGGGUCUAAUACCGGAUAGGACUACGGCCUUCAUGGGUUGUGGUGGAAAGCUUUUGCGGUGUGGGAUGGGCCCGCGGCCUAUCAGCUUGUUGGUGGGGUAAUGGCCUACCAAGGCGACGACGGGUAGCCGGCCUGAGAGGGUGUCCGGCCACACUGGGACUGAGAUACGGCCCAGACUCCUACGGGAGGCAGCAGUGGGGAAUAUUGCACAAUGGGCACAAGCCUGAUGCAGCGACGCCGCGUGAGGGAUGACGGCCUUCGGGUUGUAAACCUCUUUCAGUAGGGACGAAGCGCAAGUGACGGUACCUAUAGAAGAAGCACCGGCCAACUACGUGCCAGCAACCGCGGUAAUACGUAGGGUGCGAGCGUUGUCCGGAAUUACUGGGCGUAAAGAGCUCGUAGGUGGUUUGUCGCGUUGUUCGUGAAAACUCACA
rnacentral:rRNA from 1 species